GAUGAACGCUGGCUACAGGCUUAACACAUGCAAGUCGAGGGGAAACGCCGGGGAAGCUUGCUUCCCCGGGCGUCGACCGGCGCACGGGUGAGUAACGCGUAUCCAACCUGCCUCUGACUGAGGGAUAACCCGUCGAAAGUCGGCCUAAUACCUCAUGGCAUCGUCUGCGGGCAUCCAACGACGAUUAAAGAUUUCAUCGGUCAGGGAUGGGGAUGCGUCUGAUUAGCUUGUUGGCGGGGUAACGGCCCACCAAGGCUACGAUCAGUAGGGGUUCUGAGAGGAAGGUCCCCCACAUUGGAACUGAGACACGGUCCAAACUCCUACGGGAGGCAGCAGUGAGGAAUAUUGGGCAAUGGGCGGGAGCCUGAACCAGCCAAGUAGCGUGCAGGAUGACGGCCCUAUGGGUUGUAAACUGCUUUUAGGCGGGGAUAAAGUGAGGGACGUGUCCUUCAUUGCAGGUACCGCAUGAAUAAGGACCGGCUAAUUCCGUG
rnacentral:rRNA from 1 species